GGAGAGAUGGCUGAGUGGUCUAAAGCGCUCGCCUGCUAAGCGAGAGUCGUGUAACAGCGGCGCGAGGGUUCGAAUCCCUCUCUCUCCG
rnacentral:tRNA from 1 species